AAGAAUUUUGGUUUUUUGGUCUUACUUAGCUGCAUAGGUAGCCGAGACUGUAGUGCUGGCUUGUGUUCAUGAUUCUGUCACUUACCUGACAUGACAGGGUAGACAUUUCUCAGACCCUGCCUUCAGACUUGGGCGGAUCAUGAGACGCUGCCCCAGCAGUAAUGGUAAGCACACCCAAGAGACUCCUGUUGAGGGUGUAGCACUGGAUGUGAGCCAGACGUAUGUUUUAGGAGGUGCUGUGUAGUGAGGACCUGUUGUUUUGCAGAUGGGUCUAAUCUGAACACAAGGUGAACCCUUGGUACAGGUUCUGGAGGCUGUUGACUGUGGUAACCCUGGAGCACCAUGAAUCCACCAAGCCCUGGUGCUCAAGGCGGUGUGGGCAGCAGGUUCUAAAGGGCCUGGGACGUGCUGUGGUCGCAUCUCCUUAGAAACUUGGUGUCUUGUGGUAUUAGUGAUGAUCUUGUGUCACUCCUUCCUGUCUGUCCUGUUUUGCUCUGGUAUAUCUGAGAGGGACGUUCUCAGCCCAGCAGACUGUUUGCAGAGAUAAUUCGCAUAGAGCCACCUUGAGAGCGAGCCUUGCUUCUGCAAGUCCGUCACAGUAGGUUUGAAUUCCCUGGCCCUCAGUGCAGCUACUGUGGCAAGGGAACCUGGGCUUUGGUGGUAUGGUACACAGUGCUGCCUACAGCUUUCCCGUGUAGAUAGAGGCAGAUGUUGGUAGUGUGGCUGCCUGAUCUCUUCUGGAAGGAGGAGCUUUAGCAGAGAGGAUGGGAGUAGGUGCUGCUGUGUGCAGAGGACAGAGCAGAGGUCCCCGAGGUGAAGUGUGGCUUGCUGGAGCAGACUUGCUUGGUGCUCAUCUGGUGACUGACCAGUGGCACAAGACCACAGAGUUGCUUUCUGCCCCAGAGGACUGAAGUGGUUGGCUCCAUUGAGGACAGAGGCUCAAGGAAGACAGGGUAGCUUGGAAGAGACAUCUGCCCUAGAUCCAGCUCACAGGGGUUAACUCAGAAGUUUCCAGACUUAACUGGGAGUCAGACACUAUACAGUUUCCAGAAGAAGAAGAGCAGAGAAGGCUUUGGGAAACAAGCUAGUGAAAGACUUCUGAGCCCAAUGCUAAAAUGUGCUCUGUACAAGGGGCAGCUCGUAGGGAGGACCGUCAUCUACCUUAAAGCUGCUGUCCAUCCAGAGCCUACAAAGAGCUCUCAGAGCUCAGUACUGACAACAUUCGGUCAACAAUAGGACCAGACUUGGUAACACAGGCCUUUAACCACAGCACUGGGCGGCAGAGGCGGUGGAUCUAUAUGAGUUCAAAGCCAGCCUGGCCUACAUAGUUGCACAUUGUCUCAAAU
rnacentral:lncRNA from 1 species